GCCGCCUUAGCUCAGCUGGUAGAGCGACGCUUUCGUAAAGCGUAGGUCGUGGAUUCGAAUUCCACAGGUGGCU
rnacentral:tRNA from 3 species